CAGCUAGAGAAGGCUCCUCGGAAACUUCAGUCGACUCUGGAGAGGGCGGGAGAGAUGCCCAGCCCCUUAAAGGAGAAUACACACAAUUUUGGAAAAGUGGAGAGGAAGUGGAGGAGGCUAAGAAAGAGAGCAUGAAACAUAUCUCAUGUGAAGGGUCCAGUGGAAAAGUAGGGAGAGAAAUUGAAACAUCUGCAGGAUACAGACACAGGUACAGGGAGAAAAGGCAGCUGCAAGAGUCCUGGUGCCCAAUCUGUCUCCCUCCUCUCCAUCUUCCCAAAGACACUGGAACUAGGAUGCGACUGUCUUUGCCUCUGAGCUGAGGGAAAGUCCCCGGGAGAUGGACAUCGGACAUCAUAUGUGGAAGAGAUCGCAGCUACAAAGCGGAUAGAAAGGCUAGGCUUGCCUCACCUGGCCAAUCGGACAUUGUCAUUGUCAUCUUUGCCCCACUCCCAGCCCUUUCCAGGGU